rnacentral:rRNA from 1 species
UACGGAAGGCAGCAGUGGGGAAUAUUGCACAAUGGGCGCAAGCCUGAUGCAGCCAUGCCGCGUGUAUGAAGAAGGCCUUCGGGUUGUAAAGUACUUUCAGUCGUGAGGAAGGUGUUAAGGUUAAUAACCUUAGCAAUUGACGUUAGCGACAGAAGAAGCACCGGCUAACUCCGUGCCAGCAGCCGCGGUAAUACGGAGGGUGCGAGCGUUAAUCGGAAUUACUGGGCGUAAAGGGCACGCAGGCGGUUAAUUAAGUUGGAUGUGAAAUCCCCGGGCUUAACCUGGGAAUGGCAUUCAAGACUGGUUAGCUAGAGUCUUGUAGAGGGGGUAGAAUUCCAUGUGUAGCGGUGAAAUGCGUAGAGAUGUGGAGGAAUACCGGUGGGCGAAGGCGGCCCCUGGGACAAAGACUGACGCUCAUGUGCGAAAGCGUGGGGAGCAAACGAGGGAUUAGAUACC